rnacentral:lncRNA from 1 species
UGAACAUGGGCUGAUGUCAUCCACCUGUGAUCUGCUUAUGUCUUAUGCUCAUUCUCUCUCAGGUUCCUUCCUGAUCCCUGAAGCAGUAAACUUCCGUACCAGUGAGCCUGCAUCUGCACUGGUCAGGACGGGGACACAUCAUGGCAUUCGUCUUUCCGCUGCCCUGCGGAAUUUAUUUGAAAGGAGAUUUAGCCCAUCCACACUAUGGACUCUCAAAGGCCUUUCCCAGGGAACACUGGUGUUUAUUACUUUCCUUUGUCUGAAAGAUGAGCAGGAACAAUGUUCACCUUCAUAGCUACUUGAGCUCUCCCUGAUCUGCCUCCUUUCAGAAAACAGAAGGCUUCCCAGGGACGUGAACAAAACAAGGUGUAACAAGCAGCAAUAAGACUGG